rnacentral:rRNA from 1 species
UACGUAGGCAGCAAGCGUUGUUCGGAUUCAUUGGGCGUAAAGGGUGUGUAGUUGGCGCCGUAAGUCGGGUGUGAAAUUUCGGAGCUUAACUCCGAAACUGCAUUCGAUACUGCGGUGCUUGAGGACUGGAGAGGAGACUGGAAUUCCUGGUGUAGCGGUGGAAUGCGCAGAUAUCAGGAGGAACACCGGUGGCGAAGGCGGGUCUCUGGGCAGUAACUGACGCUGAGGAGCGAAAGCGUGGGGAGCGAACAGG